GCACAACGCGAAGAACCUUACCAAGGCUUGACAUAUACGGUCUAUCCCUAGAGAUAGGGAGUGCUUCGGCGCCGUAUACAGGUGGUGCAUGGUUGUCGUCAGCUCGUGUCGUGAGAUGUUGGGUUAAGUCCCGCAACGAGCGCAACCCUCGUCCUAUGUUGCCAGCGGGUUAAUGCCGGGGUACUCAUAGGAGACUGCCGGGGUCAACUCGGAGGAAGGUGGGGAUGACGUCAAAUCAUCAUGCCCCUUAUGUCUUGGGCUUCACGCAUGCUACAAUGGCCGGUACAGAGGGCUGCGAUACCGUAAGGUGGAGCGAAUCCCAAAAACGCCGGUCUCAGUUCGGAUUGAGGUCUGCAACUCGACCUCAUGAAGUCGGAGUCGCUAGUAAUCGCAGAUCAGCAACGCUGCGGUGAAUACGUUCCCGGGUUC
rnacentral:rRNA from 1 species